GACGAACCGAGCGAACGUUGUUCGGAAUCACUGGGCUUAAAGGGCGCGUAGGCGGGUGCUCAAGUCCGUGGUGAAAUCCUCCGGCUCAACCGGAGAACUGCCUCGGAUACUGGGCGUCUCGAGUGUGGUAGGGGUAUGCGGAACUAUCGGUGGAGCGGUGAAAUGCGUUGAUAUCGAUAGGAACUCCGGUGGCGAAGGCGGCAUACUGGACCACCACUGACGCUGAUGCGCGAAAGCCAGGGGAGCAAACGGG
rnacentral:rRNA from 2 species